rnacentral:lncRNA from 1 species
AUCUUUACAUUUCAUGAAAACAUCAUUAACUAUUUCUUAUGCUAUAAAUAUUUCAAUGAUUUUCAAGCAUUACUUUAUAUUUUAGAAGACAAUACCAUGAUCAUGAAAUCACUGGAGAAAUCUGCCGGGGAAGGGCUGUGAGGAUAGUCUCAUCUGUAACGCAUGUGUCCUCCAGAAAAAAAGUAUAUGGCUUUCAGACUAAAUUUUACUCCUUAUCCAAAUGGAAAGAAUAUCUAAAGAGACAAAGUGUAAUAAUCCAAGAAUCUUCUAUUGUGAGAAUAAUGGAGAUUGACAUUGUGAAGUAUAUAGAAAAACAUAAAAGACCACUGGAUCAACAUCACACAUGGAAUAUAUUUGUAAAGAGACAGACAGAAUUAUGUCAUACCCAGAGGGGA